UACGUAGGCAGCAAGCGUUGUUCGGAGUUACUGGGCGUAAAGAGCUCGUAGGCGGUUCGUCACGUCGGCUGUGAAAUCCCGAGGCUCAACCUCGGGUCUGCAGUCGAUACGGGCGGACUUGAGUACUGCAGGGGAGACUGGAAUUCCUGGUGUAGCGGUGAAAUGCGCAGAUAUCAGGAGGAACACCGGUGGCGAAGGCGGGUCUCUGGGCAGUAACUGACGCUGAGGAGCGAAAGCGUGGGGAGCGAACAGG
rnacentral:rRNA from 1 species